GCCUGGGUGGCUCAGUUGGUUGAGCAUCCAACUUCAGCUUGUGGGAUCAAACAGCUUGUGGGUUCGAGCCCCAUGUUGGGCU
rnacentral:tRNA from 1 species